rnacentral:rRNA from 1 species
UAACACUGAAUGGAGGACCGAACCGACUUACGUUGAAAAGUGAGCGGAUGAACUGAGGGUAGCGGAGAAAUUCCAAUCGAACCUGGAGAUAGCUGGUUCUCUCCGAAAUAGCUUUAGGGCUAGCCUCAAGUGAUGAUUAUUGGAGGUAGAGCACUGUUUGGACGAGGGGCCCCUCUCGGGUUACCGAAUUCAGACAAACUCCGAAUGCCAAUUAAUUUAACUUGGGAGUCAGAACAUGGGUGAUAAGGUCCGUGUUCGAAAGGGAAACAGCCCAGACCACCAGCUAAGGUCCCAAAAUAUAUGUUAAGUGGAAAAGGAUGUGGCGUUGCCCAGACAACUAGGAUGUUGGCUUAGAAGCAGCCAUCAUUUAAAGAGUGCGUAAUAGCUCACUAGUCGAGUGACACUGCGCCGAAAAUGUACCGGGGCUAAACAUAUUACCGAAGCUGUGGAUUGUCCUUUGGACAAUGGUAGGAGAGCGUUCUAAGGGCGUUGAAGCAUGAUCGUAAGGACAUGUGGAGCGCUUAGAAGUGAGAAUGCCGGUGUGAGUAGCGAAAGACGGGUGAGAAUCCCGUCCACCGAUUGACUAAGGUUUCCAGAGGAAGGCUCGUCCGCUCUGGGUUAGUCGGGUCCUAAGCUGAGGCCGACAGGCGUAGGCGAUGGAUAACAGGUUGAUAUUCCUGU